GGCUGUGGUGAAACUGGUAGACACGCUUGAUUUAGGUUCAAGUGCCUAUGGCGUGGGGGUUCAAGUCCCUCCAGCCGC
rnacentral:ncRNA from 13 species